GAUGAACGCUGGCGGCGUGCUUAACACAUGCAAGUCGAGCGAGAAGUUUUGAAAAGAUUCUUCGGAUGAAAUUUAAAAUGGAAAGCGGCGGACGGGUGAGUAACGCGUAGGCAACCUGCCCCAUACAAAGGGAUAGCAUUUGGAAACGAAUAUUAAUACCUUAUGAAACUUAACUAGUGCAUGCUAGGUAGGUCAAAGAUUUAUCGGUAUGGGAUGGGCCUGCGUCUGAUUAGCUAGUUGGUGAGGUAACGGCUCACCAAGGCGACGAUCAGUAGCCGACCUGAGAGGGUGAACGGCCACAUUGGAACUGAGACACGGUCCAAACUCCUACGGGAGGCAGCAGUGGGGAAUAUUGCACAAUGGGGGAAACCCUGAUGCAGCAACGCCGCGUGAACGAUGAAGGCCUUUGGGUCGUAAAGUUCUGUUCUAGGUGAUGAAAACUGACAGUAACCUAGGAGAAAGCCCCGGCUAACUCCGUGCCAGCAGCCGCGGUAAUACGGAGGGGGCAAGCGUUAUCCGGAAUUAUUGGGCGUAAAGGGUACGUAGGUGGCCUUUUAAGCGUAGGGUAUAAGGCAAUGGCUCAACCAUUGUUCGCCCUAUGAACUGGAAGGCUUGAGUGCAGGAGAGGAAAGCGGAAUUCCUAGUGUAGCGGUGGAAUGCAUAGAUAUUAGGAGGAACAUCAGCGUCUAAUGCGGCUUUCUGGACUGCAACUGACACUGAGGUACGAAAGCGUGGGGAGCAAACAGG
rnacentral:rRNA from 1 species